UUGAACGCUGGCGGCAUGCCUUACACAUGCAAGUCGAACGGUAGAGGGGCAACCCUUGAGAGUGGCGAACGGGUGAGUAAUAUAUCGGAACGUGCCCAGUCGUGGGGGAUAACGCAGCGAAAGCUGCGCUAAUACCGCAUACGAUCUAUGGAUGAAAGCGGGGGAUCGCAAGACCUCGCGUCGAUUGGAGCGGCCGAUAUCAGAUUAGGUAGUUGGUGGGGUAAAAGCCCACCAAGCCGACGAUC
rnacentral:rRNA from 1 species